rnacentral:rRNA from 1 species
UACGUAGGGUGCGAGCGUUAAUCGGAAUUACUGGGCGUAAAGCGUGCGCAGGCGGCUUUGCAAGACAGAUGUGAAAUCCCCGGGCUUAACCUGGGAACUGCAUUUGUGACUGCAAGGCUAGAGUACGGUAGAGGGGGAUGGAAUUCCGCGUGUAGCAGUGAAAUGCGUAGAUAUGCGGAGGAACACUGAUGGCGAAGGCAGCCCCCUGGGCUGACACUGACGCUCAGGCCCGAAAGCGUGGGGAGCAAACAGG